rnacentral:rRNA from 1 species
GCUACGGGCGGCUGCAGUGGGGAAUAUUGCACAAUGGGGGAAACCCUGAUGCAGCGACGCCGCGUGAGUGAAGAAGUAUUUAGGUAUGUAAAGCUCUAUCAGCAGGGAAGAAAAAAGACGGUACCUGACUAAGAAGCCCCGGCUAACUACGUGCCAGCAGCCGCGGUAAUACGUAGGGGGCAAGCGUCAUCCGGAUUUACUGGGUGUAAAGGGAGCGUAGACGGCGCGGCAAGGCUGAAGUGAAAGGCAGGGUCUUAACCCCUGAACUGAUUUGGAAACUGCCAUGCUGGAGUGCUGGAGAGGUAAGGGGAAUUCCUAGUGUAGCGGUGAAAUGCGGAGAUAUUAGGAGGAACACCAGUGGCGAAGGCGGCUUACUGGACAGUAACUGACGUUGAGGCUCGAAAGCGUGGGGAGCAAACAGGAUUAGAUACCCGAGUAGUC